CCAAAGGCUCUUUUCAGAGCCACUCCACAAGUCACAGGAAGGCGAC
rfam:Scleropages formosus scaffold4137, whole genome shotgun sequence.